rnacentral:snoRNA from 1 species
AACCCAUGAUUUGGGCAUUUUCUCAAUAUCAUCUUGAAUCACUCCCGUGUCUCACAGAAAGAUUCCUCUGCUUCUUGUUUGAACAUGAAGAUUUUAGACUUUGCUU